UCGGUGCUCCUUGCAUUCUCGUGGCAGAGGAGACUAGGUGCCUGCCCGCAGCACCGCGCCCCCGGGAUCUCCAGGCGGCACCCCGGUGUGAGCGCCGCCCACUUCCAGGUGUAAACGCAGACGGGAAGGAAGGACAUCACGGACAGCGCGCAGCGGAGGAAGAGGGAAAUUUGGACGCACACACCCAGGAAGAAUGCUGUCUGAAUACUGAGGCAGAGAUUGGAGUUAUCCUGCCUCAAGCCAAAGAAUGCCAAGAAUUGCUGGCCACCCACAGAAGCCAGGAGCAAGGUGCAGAACAGAUUCUCCCUCUGAGACCCUAAUGUUGCAGGAUCGCAGGGUUCUCGCUGGAGUGGAAGAAUGAAUCUCACGGACACGAAAGAGUGAAGUGAAGUGAACUUCUAUUAAGUGAAGUGUUUGGUAACCACCCUGAUGGAGUUGGAAGGAACUGGGGGUUUCCUGAAGAAAGGGGCUUCAUCAGGUGGCGCCACAGGCUCAUGGAUGGGCCUUCCUCAGCUCGCUGGGUGGCCACCUGUGGGAUAGUUGGAAUGAAGAGAAGGAAGAAGGCUUGCUUCUGCGCGUCUCCUCAGGAGUUCAUCACGGUCAUCAGAUCAACCCACAGGAGAAUGGUCACGGAUGGUCGUAAAUCCAUACAGUUGUGAUAACUGGGUAAAUACAGAAAAAUGAGCAACCUGGACAUGGAGAGAGAGCCCCUACAAUAAGCCCGAGCAUUGUUUUGAGUGCACGCGAGAAUGACGAGAACAAACAAGUCCCUGGGGCUGGAGUCCGCCCUCCACCGUUGCACAAGUAACUUUCAUUCUGAAUCAAUGGACUCAGACUUGGUUGUUUUUAAGGGCAAGGAAUAAUCCACUUUUGAUCCUAAGAGAGAUUGAAAUGAAGCUCUGCAGGGGAGAGCUCUAUGCAGAGUUUAAAAUUGAAGCCUGACCUAAUCAAAGUUUAUAGCAUCACAAAAUAUUUAGAUCUCUUGGUGUGGCAUGUAUACAGGGGAGACUGCACAUUUUAAAUAUUUACAGCUGAUAAAUAUUUUUCAUUAUAGGACAGUGCUUGACACAUAGCGGCUUGUAGGGAAAAAUGCUUGAAUUCGGCAUGCAAGUGCAUCUGAUUUUCCCUAGGGUUAAGCUGUGGCACUGGCUAAAUGGCCAACAUUUGGCAGGCCAGUUGCCAAAACAAUUCAUUGGAUCUCUGUGCCAUCCAGUUCCCUCCUUAAGACAAUCGAAACAAGAAUGACCAAAUCAGAUUGACUCUAUGGAAAUCUAAUCAGUUGCUCCACAAUCAGAUGUAAUAGCUCUGCCAUCAAAUUAAUUUUAUUUUAUUUCAUUUACUGAAGUGACAUAUAGGCACAGUCUUUACUGUGCCUGUUCUUUCCUCAUACAUAGUGUGACAUAAUAUUAGCAUUUGAAGGGAUUCUAGAAACCUCUGGUUCUCUACUUCUCCUAUGGGAAAAAAGGAUAAGCAGUACCCUAAGUCACUAAGUAAAUGUGGGGUGUCUCUCUGGAAUGCUAAGUGUAUCUUCAGAUUGGGAGGGGAAUACAUUUAUAUGUUUAAACAAGUACAAAUAUGUCAUGAAGUAUGUAUUAGGAUAGAUUAGAUUAUGCUCUACUAACCAAGAACGUCCAAUCUCAGCGAUUUAAGACAACAAACUUACUUCUCAUUCAUGCAACAUGUCCAUGACGGUCCGCUGCGGCCUGUGUUCCAUGUUGUUCUCAUUCCAGAAUCCAGAUUGAUGGAACAGACUCUCUGUAGAACUUUGUCUAUUGUCUUAGCGAAGGAAAAGACAAGGGGUAAAUCAUGAGCUAGGUUGUAAUAUACUCACCUGGAAGCGGCAGCUGUCAUUUCCACUCAUACACCUCAUUGGCCAAAGAAGGUCAUAUAGACCUAUCUACCGUCAAAGAGGGUCAGAGAAGGGCAACUCUACUGUGUGCCCAGAAGAAAUAAGAAAUAGUUAGUGAACAGUAUUAAUAUCUACCACAGAAUGGGGUGCAAAUCUCAUAUAAACUUUAGGAUGAAACAUAAGACUUUGAAGAAGUUUCUUGAAAUGUAUGUGCACCCGCUGGAAUGAUUAAGUAUGAGAAUCCUAGAAAAUGCUGCAUGCUUGCCUGAAAUGUCUUAUUUUAUCUUAAAAUAUUUAUAAAUAUAUACAUUUACAUAAAUAUAUAUAAUGUAUACUACAUAUAAAAUAUAUAAAUGUAUAUUCCUUCCCUUAUCUUUUGAUGUCAGUCUAAGGGGAUUUCAUGACAGUGGGUUCAUUGAUUGGAUUUUCUUAUUGGCUAAUAUCCCUACGUGCCUGGUCCUGGUGAAAAUCUGAAGCCACUGGCAAAGCAAUUUAAGUGAAAAAUCUAUCAAGAUGUUCUACAAUUCUUUCCCUGUUGUCUCUUCCACACGGUAUUUGGAAGCAAUUUGCAAAUGCAAGUCACUUGCAUUUCUUAAAUAUUUCCAAUGUUUUUACAUAGCUUUCCAGCAUUCGCUGUCUGUUUAAAAAUAUUUCAAACACACAGACAAAAAUCCAUUCUUGCCUGUUUACCACCUAAACAGUAUAGUUUUCACACAGCUCUGUUUCUUUUGUAAUCAUAAUCUACACACUUAAAUAAUAUUUAAUUGAAUCAUAUAAUUAUAAUAGGUACAACAGGCCACACCCAGAUUUGGGAAUGAUACAACUCAAGUGGCAGUAACAGAAGUACAAGGGUGUGCGAGAGAGGACACAGGCCCCUAACCUCCACCAUCCCUGUGCAUCAGAUAGUGCAUUUCAAAUAACAAAUGGAGAGUACCCGCUGAUGAUCUAGUCAGGUGGUUGGUUAAAAGAACUUAUAUUAAACUUUGGUGGAAAAGUUAAGGAACACUAUCUGGGAUCCUCAUAUUGCAAUUAAUGAUUCUAAAGCCCAGAAUCUGUGAACUACUUUAAUUCAUUCAUUCAUUCACUCCUUUAUUAGUUCAUUUAUUUAUCGGUCCGUUCAGAGGCAGUAUAGGAUAGGGGAGAAGAGCAUGGAUGCUGGCACCAAAUUGUAUGGGUUUGAAUUCCAGUUUUGCUAUGUGCCCCAUGGCCAGUUUUCCCGACUGUAACAUGGGAAGAUGAGGACCUACCUCAAGGGGUUGUUGAGAAGAUUGAAUGAAAUAACCAGUGUAAGUUAUGUAAAUGUUAGCUUAUGAUAAACUCCUUCAUUUGAUGAAUCUUUGCUGAGCAAAUACCAUGUGCCAAAUAUUGCCUUAGCUGAUGGAGAAAGGAAGGUGAACAAUAAAUAGCACAGUUACCUCUCUUGGGCAGUUCUAUAGUCUAAUGCAAGAAGCCAAAUUACACUGCAGGCUUCAAAAUAAUUAGGUACAAUUUGCCUACAUUCUGUGAAGAAGGACAAGGUGGUAGGAACGAGCCUUUCCUCUCUAUAUCCUCAGAAUCAGGAGGGUCUGGCACAUACUAAGUGCUCAAGAAAAUAUUUCUGGAACGAAUGAGUAAAUAAAUAUAUGACUUACCCAUUUCGUGGAUUUGUCAGCAUUCUGCUUCUUGUUAGAGACUGGGAUUCCCGGCAGCAGGAGAGACCAGCGCUGCUUGCUAGGCAGGUCCUUCACACCUCUUCUUCCCUCUUUUACCUGUUUAGUAAAACUAAAAUCCUCUGGUUUCUAGUGUUUCUAGUUCACUAAGAUGCCUUCUGUGGGCAGCUUUUCUAAGAUGUGAACUUAGAUUGCUAGAUUCAGAAUUCUGACUUCUGUGCAAUGAUUAUCAGCACUUCUCUGUUUGUCAAUUUCAGAAAAAAUGCCAAGAGAAUAUCCUUAUACAUUUGAGCCACUAUUUUCAUAUGCUUCAAAGUGAGUUUCUUUAUUGGUAGAGGCUGAAUUUUUUGAACUUUAAGUACCUUUUGACUAGCAAGGGAUAUUACCGAAUGCUAAAUCAGUGCUAAAAAGUAAAGUGUUUUAUUGCUCCCCAAACCUAGCCUAACAGACCCACCACUUAGCAGAUCUCUGAGGCCUUCUCCAACUUCGAUGACAAACGCAUGCAGGAAAACCUGUGCUCUGGAGACCCCCUGGGGGACAGGGGUGGGGAUACACCAUUCUGGGGGGCUCGGUUUUAGCUGUAAAGAUGAAACAGAACUUUUUAAACAGUUUAGAUAGAACUUUCUUCAAGGUAAAUUUCAUGCUUCCCUGACUUCUUAGCUAGAAUGUUCUGAAAAGCCGUGUGUCCAGGUUAGCAUAACUGAUCACGGCUAAAGAAAUCUCCCCCGGGGCAGUUGUGAAGAAGAGAGUGAGCAGCCCUGAACUGGUUCUGUUUGCUCCUAUCCCUCCCACCUGUAAUAGUUUCUCAGAUGUGUAAGUUGGACACGGCUGACGAGGGCCAGACGUCUUUCCACCGCUAUGUAUAUAGUGACCCCGUGGUCUGCUAAAUGUGAGUGCACUUACAGACCCCACGGGGCAGAACACUUUGCCGUGAUCGGCCCCCAGUUUCCCGUGGGCACCGGCUGAGGUAGGUGCCUGGCACUACUCAGCUCUUUGGUUGUUGAGAAUUCACAUAGAUAAUUAAGCCUUCAAAAGCCCAAUUUGGCCAGUCGUACAGUCUUCUCCUGUCCUCUCAAACUCUGAACUGUAUCUCUCCUUCCUGGACUUGUUCUCUGUAUUCUUCUUCCUCUCUCUUCCCUCCUCCUCUUCCCGUUGCCUCCCUCGCUCCUUCUCCCUCUCUCCUUCCACUCUUCAUACUCCUCUUCCUCCUCCUCCCUCUUUCUUCAACCUUGCCCCCCUUUGCCAAAUCUUGCUCCUCCUUCCCCGUCGGCAGAAAGCCAUGCAUGUAGCUCGUCCUCUUCGUCUGCAGCUGCCCCACAGACUGAGACACAGAAUUGCCCUGAGGUGUGUCUAAACCUGCCAACUCUGUAAGCCUUCAGAUCUGGAGAUAGAGUGAGGCAUAUUUAAGGAGAACUGAUAAGAAGAAUCACCCACAAGCCUCCAGUCAACCCUUGGCAGCUUGCCGAGGAGCCCGCUCGGAGAGCACGCAGCUGAAAUGCCGCACAGAAGCCCCAGGAGUUUGUACAAUCCCCAGCUAGCAUCCCAAACCGUAGGGCAGACGGAAAGACAAUCGGAGAAGCUGGACUUAAACUGAGCAAAGCAAAAACACAAUAUUGGAUCUGGGAAGAGUUGAUGAUAGCUCAACGAAGAAUUACAAAGUGGGUUUGAAACUUCCUGUGGGAGCCCUGGGUUGGCCUGUGUUCCUGCCCCGUGGACGCCAUGCCAGUACACACAUCUCCUUUUCAUUUGUCAGCAUCCUGCUUGUUAGAGUCCGGGAUUCCGGGCAGCGGGAGAGACGGGCCCUGCUUGCUAGGCAGGUCCCGCGCUCCCGCCGCGUCUCUGCACACAUGCUUUGGAGGUGCUGCUUGUUGUCCCAGCUACAUGGGCCGGGGCUGGCUGUGUGGCAGGAGCAGGUGGUGCCUGAGGACAAGACCUUGGCUUUCCCCAAGGCAGUUCCCCCAUGUAGCCUCCCUCCCCGCUCCCCCACCACCCCAUAUUCUUUGUUUUGGACCAUUUCCUUUCUCCCUGAGCUUGCCUGGGCUACCACCCCCCUUCAUAGAACCAAAGCCUUACGCAUGCAGGAGAGAGAUGCUGGGGGGCCAGCCAGGAGGGGACAUGAAGGAGCCUCCUGGGGUGCUGGAAAUGUUCCCUAUUUUGGUCUGAGUGCUAGUUGUAUGAGAGUACACAUAUGUAAUCACUCAUCCAGCUAUACAUUUAAGAUUGUGCACCUCACUGUGUAGAAGUUAUACCAUUAAAAAGAAGAAGAAGAGAGAAUCUAGAAUUGGCAGAUCUGGGUUUGAAUCCAUUUAGGGUUGUGUGACCUCUGGCUCUUGCCAAGCCUCCCUUCCCCGCUGUAAGCGAGGAUAGUGUGUUUUGUACGUUGGCGGUGGGGUGCAUGACACGGACUGAAACGCGUCCACAGUGGAUAAAGUGCUGGGUACGGGAUUAGUGCUCAAGAACGGGUUGCAAAUAUCAUCAUUGCUGUUUGAGAAAAUUAGUCUCCGAACAUGGGAACAGAUGCAGAUGUUUUGAGUUAACGUCUCUCCACAUACUGGAGCAUCUGGACAUCAGCUUUCAAGGCCUUAACUCAAAGGUGGGAACUUUAGGCACUGAAGUAGGCUAACAGAAGAAAAUCACUGGGCAAAGAGCCUUUCAUGGGUGCUCUUUCGGUUACACCAGCCGGGCAGCCCCAGUCACCUGGCCAGCCCACACAGGCCUCAUCUCUGUCUCAUGCCCGUUCCAGCCACGUGUCUUGAAUCCUGCAGGCAAAUUCUGAUGAAUUCAUUUUUGGCAAAUAAACUCCGCUCAUACGCAAAAGGUAAACUUUUGAUCUGUGCGCCUGACACCAAUGCUGAGAAACGCAGCCAUGACUAAUGGUAUUAUUUCAGCUCAGCCCUGGAAAAUCGGAGCCUUCCUGAUUCUUUUUCUGCCCUCAUUAAAGUCUGUUUUACUCUGACCAGGAAAUGGAGGAAACCCCUGGUGUUCAUUGCUGACCUCUACUCUGCUUGUAACUACUUAGAAAUCCAUAGAACUACGGAGUGCGGGAGCCGUGCGAAGUCUUCAGGUUUAGAUGAGGGAAAACCCCUCACUCUCCAGAUGAAGCAGGAGAAGUAACUCGCACAGAGUUCAUUCAUCUCCAACAAGGACGUAUUCAGCGACUGUGUGCCAGGAUUUGUGGUUAGACCCUGGAUUACAUAAGCUGGCAUGGAAAAUUUCUUCUAGCUCCCUUCCAGAGUUCUCCCGAGCCAGACUGUAGCUCAGAUCGGUACGGCCUGCUAUUCAUUGAUGCUUCUUCAGUAGAACAAUGGUCUAGACUCGGCGCGGAGUUAAAUCGUCAAGGGAGAAGCAGCGGUGCUGGCAGCUGAUGCUGCAAACCACACAGGCUUCUACACAGCACCGGAGAAUGAAGAUAUAAUGUCAAGAGGUGCUGGGGCCAUUUUGCUGCUAGGAUGAGAAGAGCUUAAGGAUGAAGCCAAUGUGAAGAGAAGGGUGCAGGUUGUGCGUGCAUGAGUUUUCCAAGGGAAUCCCAAGUCAGAAAGGCUACGUUGCAGGAAGUCCAAUGUAUGUGCUGCAGGUCCUAGGCAAGGCAUUACUGAUUUCACCAAAGUCUGCCUGGAAUCAGCUGUGACAACAAAGGUCAUGGAAGCUGAAGGUUGAAAAGCAAACAGGAAAAAAAACACAUUUUCUUCAGCUCAGAGAUAAGCAGGAAACCCAAAGAACAUGUUCGUAACAAUAAGACCUCAGUAAUAAUACUGAAUAGAAAGUCAACCAAGUAGAUCUGACAGAAGUCCAGGCAGACAUCCAAGAGAUUCUUGUGCUGAGCUGCUGAGUCAUUCCGCGGGCCUCUCUGCCUCAUCUGUACAUUGGGGAUAUGAGCAAUGAAGCUUGUAUCUAUGAAAGUAUGAUCUCAUUGGUAUAUUUUGAAAAAAAAAUGUUUAUAAACGCAUAGAUCAUUUCUGAAAGACACAUUCUCUUGAGAGAUAGGGAUAGAGUUAAUGCACAGUCCCAUAUUCUGAAUGAUGCAUUGAAAGAUGUGGUAUGGUAUUGUCAGGAUCACCUCCAAAUUAAUUCCGAGUUCAUGACAUGUAUUAUCUAUACUACUGCAUGUAACCCCAUGCACCUGACUUCACCUAUCUUCGGAUAGUCCUGGUUCUGUCACUGGCUUGCUGUGGGAUUUAGGGGAAGUUACUUACCCUCUCUGAGCAUGGCUUUCCUUGUCUGUCAAAUGGAGAGAGAGAAAGAAGUAGGUUAAUCUCUGGGGCCUCCAGCUCUCCCAUUUCAAGAUGAGCUGGCUGUCGUGUGCUGAUGGCCUGCUCCACUCACUCUCUUAUAAAAGUCUCUAUCCUGCUAGAAGCAAGAACUUACCGGAAUUUUCCAUAUAGUUUGGAGAAAGGAGAGGCUCCGAGCUGGUGUGUGUGGGGUGGUGUAUCCAGGUGAUAGAGAAGAGGGGCCGGAGGACUUGGGAAAGACUGAAUGCUGAAGCUUGAAUGCUCAAGCUCCCAUGCUGUAGAGAAAGCCUUGUUGGGUGAAAACAAGACACAGUUCCAGCUCAGGCCCCUGCUCUGAUCUGCAGAGGGGUGAGGUGCACAAAGAACAUUGGGAGGCCCCUUCUUAGAUGUGACCUGAGGCCCAGGGAGACUGCGGGAUCUGUGUCCCCAGCUGGAACCCUAAGCCAUCAGUAGAUUCACAGCAAAAACAUCCCAACAAGUGCAAGAAGAUUCCACAAGUAAGAGUAUUUGGAUUUAAAAUGUUAAAUAACCGGGGCUCCUGGGUGGCUCAGUCAUUAAGCAUCUGCCUUCGGCUCAGAUCCUGACCCCAGGACCCUGGGAUCGAGCCCCACAUCAGGCUCCCUGCUCAGCCGAAGCCUGCUUCUCCCUCUCCUCCCAGCUUGGGCUCUCUCUCUCGCUAUCUCUGUCACUAUGUGUCUCUCUCUCUCUCAAAUAAAUAAAUAAAAUCUUUAAAUAAAAUAAAAUGUUAAAUAACCAAAGGAAGACACCUGUGUAUGAGGUAUGACCUCAUUUCUACAUAUGAUAAAGGAGAUGUUUACAAAAGCACAGAUUGUUUUGGAAACGUUAGCCCGAGACUUUAGGGCAUGGAACUGGUGGGGAUAGAGAAGGUGAGGGUGGAAAGAGGCUCACUUUUUAUUGUAGUAUGCUAGAAAAAAAAAAAAGUGUCACAUGCCAGUUUAAAUUUUCUAAUAAAAGUACCAAUUCGUUCUAAACGUGUCAGUGAGAUACGACAUGAAUUGUGCGAUGUGGGAGGUUUGUGAGCCGCUUCCCAAGCCACAAGUCAUGGGAAGUCCUGGGUUGCCUCGAGCCCAAACAUGCCCCAGGAGAGAAUGUCACUUGAUGAGAAGGUUUGGGCUUCAGAGCCAGAAGCCUGGUUCCGUCACCUGAUGCAGGGCUGGAUGGCCCUGAGCCUGCUUACCUCUGGGCCUGUUUUCUCUAUAAGACAUGAAAAGAACACCGCUUCGUAGACGGUGGGGUGGAAUCAGACAAUCGAAGUGCAAGCUUUUAUUACUAUUUCGAGGCGUAGGUGACAGCGCUACGGUAAUCCACACCAUCUGAGCGUUAUUCAUCGUCUCAGCCUGGAUCUGCCCCGACGCAGAAUCUAAUCUAGACGGAUUGAUUUUGCAAACCCCUGCAUAGCGCUGGCUACCCGCCAGGCGCUCCUCUCAAUACCACAUAGGUUGUAACUCACUUUGUCCUUGGAGGAACCCCAGGAGGUGGGUACUGUGAUUAUCACCCCCAUCUCAUAGGUGAGAAAACUGAGGCACAGUGAGGUCAAGGAAUUUGCCCAGCGUCACAGGGGCAGCAAGGGAUGAGGCCAGGAUUCCAGUCCAUGCACUGAGCAGAGGGCCUGUCCGAGACCCCCACGUGCCGCUUCCUCUGGGCAAACCCGCAGGUUUAGCCCGAUGCUUUCGAAACAAGUGGCCUUCUCAGGGAAAUGUGCUAGAUAUCCGAGUCGGGGAUGCCCCUCUGCCCCUUCUUCCCGUCCUCAGGUCUGCGAGUUAAAUAGGAACUCACGGAUUCACUGGCUUCCAGGUAGAAGCAGAAGACAAAUCGUCUGCGUCCCUCAGCCUCAGCAGCUGCCGAAAAGGCCUCCUAGGCCUCCCCAGACCGAGGCUCGGGCUCUGUGUUCUCACACCCGUGUCUUUGCUGCCUCCAGGCAAACACACACUAUUGAAUUACGCUGUGCUUACUGCCUUCAAUAAGUGUGUGCUGGGUGCCCGGUAUGUGCGUGGGACUUUCAGAGUCUACGGGAAAGCAGGCUAAAUGACCAGCGCCUGCCCUCAGGAAGCCUAAGGACUGCGACGGGAGGGCUCUCGGAAAUGCACAGGAAAAUAUCACCCACAAUAGGAUAACAGAUGGAAGGUGUUGAGUGAGUAGAGGUGCAGGAUGUGAUUCGGCCUGGGGCAGGCCAGUUCAACGUGAUGUGUGCCCACGGGAAUGGCUAUGAGAAGAGGAUAUCCCAAAGCCUGGACUUUCUUUGCAUCAUAAAACUCGUCCAACGGCCACAUCCAGUCCUGAAGUUCAGUCUCUGGAAGUGUUAGGAUACCCGAAAGUUUGCCUCCUGGAGGUUAAAUUGGUGGCUAUCCUAUUGUGAAUGAUGGAGAUCACUUCCUCCAGAAAGGCUUCCAGAGCCCCUUGAACCUGAGUUAGCCCCUUCUCUGUCCUCCCAGGUCACCCUGGGCGUGUCCCCAGCUUGGCCCUUGCGCAAGUGUCAUAAGGAUCUACUUCAACCAGAUCGGACAGGUUUUUGCUGAAGACUUCCUUGAGCUCCUGUGUUGUCAGCAGGCAGUUUUCCUCAAACUCAUUUGGUUGUCGAUUCUCAUUUGAGGAAUACCUGUUAACUAGAACUCCGGGAAGCACCAUUUAGAAGUGUCGGGCUAGCUGCAGAGGAGAGAGAACUCCCAGGACAAGGCUCCACCCUGGAGGUCUCAGAUUUUAGUGGGGAAGACAAAAGCCUAAACAAGAUAUUACAGUAUAGUCUGCUCAGGGCUAGAUUGCAGGUGUGUGCAGGGAUGUGGGAGCAGAAGGGCUCAGAGAGAAAAAGGCUCAGAGAAGGCUUCGAAGAGCAGCUGAUACAGAGCGGAGUUUUCAAGGGUGAGUUGGCAUCCACCGGGAUAAAGGGAAAGCGCACUCCAGGUAGACGGCAUUCAGGCACAAAGGCAUAGGAUUAGGAAUAACACCACUCUUCAGAAGGUGGCCACUAUGUGUAGGAGAAGCAUGAGGUUUUACUAGGAAAAUGGCUGUAAAUGAGCCUAGAAAAAAAGAGGGCAAAUCAGGAAGAGGGUUGCAUGUCAGACAUUGUGUUUAAAUAUUAUCUGGUGGUAGGUAAUGAGAAGUCAUUGAACCAUGGAGUAAGAUCAACAGCUUCCCACAGUGUAAGGACAAUUAUAGAGUGCUAUGGAGGACUGAUUGAGAAGUUGUAAACCUGGAUACAAGUGACUGGUGGAAACUGCUGGAAUGUCCAGGUGAGAGAUGCUAAGGGAUAAGCAAAUUGACAAUGGGGAAGGAAAAGUAUGAACCAAUGAACAACUAAUUAAGAGGCAAAAUUGGACUUACAGGUGGAGAAAGACAGAUGAGUCAAAGAUGACUCCCCAGUUUCUGGCUCAGAUGGUUAAGCAUCUGCCUUUGGCUCAGGUCAUGAUACCGGGGUCCAGGGAUG